UAGACAGUGCAACAAUUCCAUGUGAAAAAUGUGCCAUAAUGUAGACUACACAAAUAAAUGCCAUGGGUACAAAAACUGUUGAAUAUACACAAACACAAUACUUCUAAUUGUAAGCAAUAUAGUAAGGAAACAAUUUGUAGUAUUAUAGUACAAUAUCUUUGAAAAACGCAAAAAUCACUAUAGUAUACAUAGAUAAGAUUACGACACUAAUUACUCAUUGUGUACAAUAUUUUGCUCAUUCCUACACUUGAUUGUUACAUUGUGUACAAUAGUUACUAGUUUCGAGGUAUGUAACAAUCAAGGGUCUUGUAAUCAUUUCAAAAUGCUCAUGGAUCGUUGGUUGUCAACCGGAGGGACUAAGCAACUGUUUGGCCAUAAUCAGUGACCUUGAAAUUUUUAAGGUUCACUAAAAACUGCAUUUCAAAAACAAUUCAAAAUUAUAUUCACUCCAAAUACAAUACGAAUUUUAAUUUUCAUACCAACUAAGUAUUAAGUGACUAAAUACCAAUUGCAAUAUGAGUAAUAUGAAAUUUUAACUAUGGGAUAAUUUAAUCAAUUUAAUUUAUUUUAAAGAAUGUGCAAAUGACUAAAAGGGUGUUUGGAAUGUUUGUGCUUUUAAGCACUUUUUCUAUUUUUUUGAAAUGUUUGACAAUAAAAAAAGUUGUUUAAAAAGAUAAAAAAUACUUCCAAAAGCAACAAGUUGGCUAAACUGAACUUUUUUUAUUCAUUUAAAGGUUAAACGCCAAGUCCAAAGAAAGUAACUAAAAUGAGGGAAAAUUUGUAUGGACGCCAGAUGAAAAAUCACAGCUAAAUUAAGAGAAAGGGGAUCCGAUUACAAUGAGUAAGUCAGAAGUAGCUGGUUGUAGUAAUCACAGUAUUCUCAGUGGGAAUCCGAAUGAUUUCUUUCAUCAAACUUACGCAUCGUAACCAAACAAUUCCCAGAUUAACUGUAUUUUGAAAACAUAAUAAAUUGAAAUUGAAUUUAAAUAAAACCUUUGAAGGAAAAACAAGAAAAAUAUUUAAUAAAUUUCUUUUAAUAUCCAAGAAAUUAACAAAGCUUUGAACAAGAAGUUUUCAAUGUUUGAAAAUUCUUUGAAAAAAUGAAAUUCAAUUUUUUAGGAAAAAAAAUUUAAAACAACAGAAAAAAUACUUUAUAAAAGAAUUUUCAAACCAGUGCUUAAAAAAAUUGCAGGCCUCAGAGAUCUUGGUGGAUAAGGAAUCAUCAGAUAGGAACUUCGUAAAUCCCCAUCAAGAGUAGCAAAUAUCGUGUUAACAUCACCGGCCAUUCAUAUAAAAAAAUUCAAAUACUAGAAUCCAUUAAAAAAUACGAUGGGAUAAAAAGGAAAAAUAGGGAUUCGAUUAUGAUGAGCAAGUCAGAAGUAGCUGGUUGUAGUAAUCACAGAAUACACAUCAGUGGGAAUCCGAAUGAUUUCUUCAUCAUUCUUACAUAUCAUAAUCGAAAAAUACCCUAAAUCUUCAAUAAUUUUGAAAUAAAUUAAAAUAUUUGAAAUUAAAACAAGAGAAAAUGUAUCUGCCUUGUCACCGAAAAACCCUUUAGCAGAAGGAAUAAUUCGGAGCUAAAGGAAGACACAUAUAUAUAGGAAUAGAUAUAUAUGCAGUGUUUCCGUAUAGCCUAAUGAUAGAUCCCUUGAUCCAUUCUUCAAUAGCAGACGAUCAAGGAAUUGCAAUAUUAGGCCUCCAACACCAAAAACAAACAGAAGAGGAAUAACGAGAAAAUAAUUACCAAUUCAGAUUGAGGACCUGAGAAUAUUAAACCAGAAAUAGAACAGAGUUUAAUGGUUGAAGAUUGGGGAUUCAAUCUGUAUUUAUAGGUAGCAAGAAAAACCCUAGAGAUAGAGAAGUCCUCUGUUAUGUAUUAAUGGACUUAUUUACUCAGGCCCGUUAAAGAGCAUGGGCCGACGACCGCCACCUUAUG
rnacentral:lncRNA from 1 species